GGGGCUUUGCUGUUCAAAGCGGACGGGGCUGGGGCAGAAUUUCUUCCGUGAGAGCAACUCCCGCCCGGCAGCCAGCCAAAGACUCAGACAAGAAGCAGAGGACGGAGAGUGUGUGCAAUGUAUAUGAAGAAUUUUCCUGUUCUUCAGCGACUUAAAAGAGAGGACUUUUUUGAUCAAGCUGGACAAUACAUUUUAGGUGCAUUAAUUGCAGGAUGCAUUUUCUGGGGCUUAAUCUAUGGUCUGAUCAUUUGGUAUUUUAAAUGGAAACGUAGCAAAGAUGAGAGAAGAGGUUCAGACAGAAGAGUCUAGUUUUGAGUACCAUUUCAUAAUUUUACUUUUUUUUCAUUGUGUGAUGAUAAUCCAGUAAAUUGUAAUAAUAUAUCACCAA